GAGCGCUCGUAGCAAUACGGGAGCGGCAGACGGGAGAGUAACACGUGGGAACGUACCCUUCGGUUCGGAAUAACCCAGGGAAACUUGGGCUAAUACCGGAUACGUCCGUAAGGAGAAAGAUUUAUCGCUGAAGGAUCGGCCCGCGUCUGAUUAGCUAGUUGGUGGGGUAAUGGCCCACCAAGGCGACGAUCAGUAGCUGGUCUGAGAGGAUGAUCAGCCUCACUGGGACUGAGACACGGCCCAGACUCCUACGGGAGGCAGCAGUGGGGAAUAUUGGACAAUGGGCGCAAGCCUGAUCCAGCCAUGCCGCGUGGGUGAUGAAGGCCCUAGGGUUGUAAAGCCCUUUCGGCGGGGAAGAUAAUGACGGUACCCGCAGAAGAAGCCCCGGCUAACUUCGUG
rnacentral:rRNA from 1 species